rnacentral:lncRNA from 1 species
UAGAUAUUAAUCACUUUCGAACCGAUGUUGUAAUCUUUCUUUAUUAUUCUUAUCACUAAUGUUUCCCUUCUUUUUGUAAAUUUGUGUUCAUAUUCUGAGUUAUGUGGGAUGUUACUAUUUCAAGUCAAAUAUUACAUGUACUUGGUAAAAUUCUGACUGUAUCCAAAAAAUCUGUUCCUUUGAUUCUUGCUAUUCUAGAGGAAGUUCUAUAUAUGUCCAUUUCUAUUUCUUCUAUUAGUUUCUCAGUUAUCUCAUUGUACCAUUUCUGGCUUCUGCUAUUGACCUUUAUUUCCAGAGUGAUAUCCUAGGAUAGCAUACGCUAGCCAUGGUGAACCAAGCCAGACAGCAAGUGACUUGUUAGCAUUCCAUUGAAAUUCUGAGCAAUGUUAAUAUCUAUCAAGUUUUGUGAGUUCACUUUAUUGUUAUUGAUUUUGGCAUCAUACCUCUUGGCUUUUUGACGAAGGUGCAUAUAUACUUUGUGUUUUACUUUAAUGGUUUGCAAAUCCACCAUCAUGAAAACCUGCAUGACUGGAUAUUGUUUAUGGCUGUACUGUAGAUUGUUUUGGAAAUAUAUACCGUUUAUGGCUGUUGAAGAAUGUAGGUUGUCUUUACAGGGGUGUUUAGUUUAUACUUUUUUUUUUGUUAAAUCUCUAUUAGUACAAUCAUAUUUAAAUUCAUUGCAACUUGCUAAUAUUUUUAUAUAUGCCUAGUGUGAAACUAACCUCUGGUAGAGUUGAUGUCCUUUCAUUAGUGAUGCUUUUGUGCUUUUUCCCUGAUUCACUAAUACUUUGUUUCUAAACUUCUGGCUAGGUUCUUAUAUAUCUGUUGUUUAUGUUUCAUUCUUUUCUUGCAACAAUAUUUUCCUGACUUCUUUGUAUUCAUUACUUGUUGUGUCUUCCCUAAACACAAGAAACAUAUUUUAGAGAGAAGAUAUAUCACAAUAUUUGUGUUCUAAAACCAUUCUGUUCAUAUAAAUGUAGGAUAUCAAAAGCAUUAGUUUGACUGUUAUAUAGAAAAAUACAUACACAUAAAAUAUAAAAAUUAUAAAAUCUCUGCUUUCAGUUAAAAAAAGGUACUAGUCUUGAACAUCUACUGAAUUACAAGAGAUUUUUCAAUAAAAAGAACUUGAUAUUUCUGAUGAUAGGAUUCAAGAUAGUACAGGUUAGGACUGUGAUGAUAAAGGCAGAUUUGGAACUUGAAUUGGGUUGCCUUGAAAUGCUUGUGUUAUUGUUAAUGUCUUGUUGUUAUAGUUGUUCAAACCUGUGAUUAUGUUACUGUCCUUCAACCCUUCUGAAACUAUGGCCUGCUAGAUUCCUUCUCUUUUUGGUGCUCUGUAAUAUUAGCUGUUCUUGAAUCC